CAAAUCAGACGAUAUAUACUACUCACAAAAAGUUUGUGGUGUUUGGCAUUAAAUUAUAGAAAGCUGAUACUGCAGUGAUUUUAUAUGAUGGAAGUAGAACAUUUAAAUAGAAGCAUCAGUGGUGAUUUCCUCUUCUCACUGUUUAUUAAACCAAAAGCCAACAGCAGUGGAGGGUCGACCACAACAAAACAUGUUGUCUCAACUUAUCAUGUGACCUUGAGAAUUAAUUCCAGCUUGCUGAUGAUGUCUCAGCUGCUCUCAAGCGGACUUAUUGUCUGCUGAGGCAUCUCCCAGGUCAUUGAGUUUCUGGGUACAGAGUUAUCAGCUGAUCCUAGAGAUUUUCUCUCCCCUGGUCCAGGUAAAUGCUCCUUGGUUCAUGAAGACCACGAGGCCUGUGUCUGGUUGUUUGUUCAGGCAAGUUGCAAUUGGUCUAUCAUACAGAUCACAUUACUGAUGUCAAUGUUUUCCAGAGGUCUGACAAAACACUUGGGAGUCUCUCACCUCCUUUAAAAUGUGCCUGGAAUCAUCAUCGAUUUGCACAGGGUUCUGUUCAUCAUGAAGAAGUCUUCAGUGUGGGAUGUUGACAGAGGACAACGUCCACUUCUCUGUUGCUCUGGGACUCUUCCAUUCACUCUGAAUUUCUGUCCAAUCUGCUGAUGACACUCUGAGCUCAGUGGACUCUUCAUGUGACAACUUCCUGUUUGAAAAUUCAAUGUGAAGGGCCCAUUGAUCAGUUGUUCAGUGUGGUCUUGGUCUCAUGGGGCUCUAAUUUUGUGGCACAGUGCAGUUUAGUGCAGGUGGUGGAGCAUAGCGCACCCCGCACAGUUGUAAUUUUUUCCGGCACACCACCAAAUUGGUAAUUUGCCCUGAAGGCUGAAGAGCUGUCCUCGUCUGGUCUGCGUCUCAACGACUCGACUCCUUCAACAGGUGGAGGUUGUGGAUGUCCUCCACUGAGCUCAUCAUGAGGCUGGUGGAGAGGCCACCCCCUGUGGCCACCAUGUGCCUUCUUUGUUCUGACAACUUUUUUUUUGGCGAGCUUGAACCUCUGGAACCAACGCAUCAGUUCCUAGAUUGGAUGAUUGGAAGUGUGAGGUGAGAGAGACGAGGUGAACAGAGAGAGACAUAGACAAGGACUAGACCCAGACAACACGUGGGAUGCACAGGAGAGACAGACGGGCCACUGACAGGCAUAAUGUUUAAAUACCAAAUAUAAUGAUUCAAUCACGGAUUAAUCAUUUGUUGUGAAUGUUUCUGUUGAGUGCAGCAAGCUUUGCAGAGAAGUCCUGAAACACUGAACAGUUGGACAUUCAAAUUUAAAGGUCACAUGAAGGCCAUCUGGAAAUGUCAGACAGCAUUUUAGGUCCAUCUGAAAUUUCACCCCAACGACCAAAUAACCUCCAUUUUCUCUGAGUAGUAUAGAUCAUGCCACAAAAAAAAAAGGUGUUUCUGUGAAUGAUUUUUUAAAGUGUCAUAAUAAUUACACAUAUUAAGUAGCAAGUACCAAGAAAAACUGACAAUUUUUAUCAAUUCAUCAGAGUCACGUUCUUGAUUCAUAUGCGGCACCCAUGGAUGCUUCUGGAGCUGUCAAUACUGGUGUUGCAAUAGCUGGCUUAGUCACAGCUGUUGGCCAGGCCAUCGGUCAAAUCGCUCCAACACAUCGCCAGUGUUUUAUAAUCAUAACAAAUGGAUGCAGCAGCUUCUCUCUUUCUAACCCAAGGUGGUACAUGGACAGUGGAAGCUGCGCUUCACCCUUUCCACCCACCAUUCGCUCCAAUGCACUGGAGAGUGCUGUGUUCAUCAAGACUCCAAACACCGCUCGUGGAGCUGUCGGUGUCGUCACCUACGACCUCCUGAACAAUGACAACAAACAAAGUAGAGAAAAAAUUGCUAUAAUGUUCUCCAAUCCCUACGACUUCAAUUUGUACUCAAAUUGGUACGCAGUGGGAAUCUUUCAUAAGAGCAAAGAGUGUGAUGAGCAUCUGUAUCAUGAGAUGUAUAAUGAGACAAGUGACUCCUUCAUCAGAAGUAAACCAGAUGGCAGAGUCUUGAGUUACAGAGGCAAAGAAGUUACCAUCAAGGCAACCAUGUCAGACGCCUACCAGCCUGUGAUGAAGGUGGAACUUAGUGAGACUAACUGAAAUGAGUGAUGAGAGACAGAUUUCAAUGUCUGGAUGUUAGAAGAUUGUGGAAGACAAUAAAAAGGAAUCAAUAACAUUUGAAUCAGAGCUCUUUAAACUGUGGUGGGAUGAGGCUGAACCAACCCCCCCAACAGCUACUAUAAGUCUUUCUCUGCAGCUUGAAACAGUGGUGUCUUCUGGUUUUCCUCUAAUGCAUAUUAUUCUUUAUUUAGGGAAAAGGUCAGUAUUUUGCUGUUGAGACAGAGCCCUGAAGCUUACAAUACUUUAAAAACCAGCAGUUCUCUCAACUGUAACUCAGACCAAUCAUCAAGAUCAUCAUAUCCUGUAUAGCAGGUUGGUUGGGAGGUGGUUGACUGUUUCUUUUCCAGCUACAGUGCUGAUCUAUUUUCAGCCGAUAGUAAUAUUACCAUACUUUCAAUUUUUUUUCUUAACAGCUUUGCAGGAAAUCUAGUCAGAGUCAAUAUAUUCCUAUAUUCCAACUUAGUAUAUAGUUGUUCUAUAUCUGAACUCUCUUUUGGCUUUUCAAUAUUUGUAUCAUUUGAGAAAAAUGUUGACUCACCUGGUCAAAAAAAAAAGGCUUUCCAUCCCCCAAAAAAUUAAUAAAUAUUUGAAAAAACUGUGGAUUGCUUUUGCUUGAUUUAUUCUGCUUUAAACAGAAUUGCAUCACAUUUCACAACACAAGUCUGGUACAAAA